AAUCAACGCUGGCGGCGUGCCUCAGACAUGCAAGUCGAACGAUUAAAGCUCUCUUCGGAGAGUGUAUAGAGUGGCGCACGGGUGAGUAACACGUAAGUAAUCUACCUUUGAGCGGGGAAUACAGUCCGGAAACGGGAGCUAAUACCGCAUAAUGCAGCGGCAUCAUAAGAUGACAGUUGUUAAAGAUUUAUCGCUUGAGGAGGAGCUUGCGGCAGAUUAGCUAGUUGGUAAGGUAACGGCUUACCAAGGCUACGAUCUGUAACCGGGCUUAGAGGACGGUCGGUCACACUGACACUGAAUAACGGGUCAGACUCCUACGGGAGGCAGCAGUCGGGAAUUUUGGGCAAUGGGCGAAAGCCUGACCCAGCAACGCCGCGUGAAGGAUGAAGUAUUUCGGUAUGUAAACUUCGAAAGAAUAGGAAGAAUUAAUGACGGUACUAUUUAUAAGGUCCGGCUAACUACGUGCCAGCCGCCGCCGUAACAC
rnacentral:rRNA from 1 species